UGGAGAAGUGGAGAGAGGAGGAUCAAUCACGCAUGACGAAACCAUGAUUACAACAUAGAGGAGGCAAGGUUUGGAUUGGAUGAUCUGAAACUCUGGAUCCUGUUUCUGAUUUGGCGAUCAAUUAUACGGAAAAGAGAAUCGAUAGACCUGAAAGAGUUAGUGUGCAGCCUAGAAUUGCGCUCAUUCCAUAACCAGUAGAGGUUGGAUUGCCAAGGCAGUAGUGUGAGUAGACGGUGUGAUCUGUGUGAGUUCUUCAUUUGCUGAAGCGUUUGGUUCCAGCUUCUCAUCGGUUGAAUAGAGCACCUUCUCGCCGUUAGUUCCCAUACGUCAAAGCUGUAGGAGCAGUCAAAGAAGAUGUGGUCACGAGAUUCAUUGUCGUUGUUGCAGAGGAGACAGAUAGGUGAGAAUUGGAGACCCCAAGAUUGGAGUCUAUCCCUCGUCGGACAACAAGCCAAGCAUGGAAUUGUUGUCUAGGAAUUCCAUAGGAGCCCACGAGACCUCAUCCAAAUCGCCUCGCAGGUGGUAGUCGCCAUGCUCCACUGUUGCCUUGUCUGGAAUUCCUAGUCUUGACACAGAGACGUUAAGCACUGAUGCCAAGCUUCCAAACGGGGACCAAUUAUCAUACCAGAACCGAGCCGUGAAGCCAUCUUCUAAGCGGAGCUUAAUCAAUGGAAAGACCACUGAUUUGAGCUUUAGGAGUUUGUUGGCUAACCAAGAGUAGGAGGAGCUUGGUUUUGUGGUCUAGUAAUUAUGUAUCGAGCCGUUGAGAACUUUUUUCUUGAACCAUGCAACCCACACUGAGCCAGCUUUGAAGAAUAGCAGCUAAUUUAGUUUGAUGCAACACGCUAAGUUUCAAGUUUGGAGAUCUCUGAUAUCUAAUCCCCCUUGCUGCUUGGUUUUUGGCAGAAUAAAAGUAGAACAUCAAAAAGUGGUGAUCCCUGAAAUGACCCUCUACUUUAUCCACUUUAUCUGAUCAUACAUAUACGGAUCACUAUGGAAAUCACAUGAUAACAGUAAACAGUGAAUGUAUGAUAUUAAUUCUAGACUGAACUUACAUGACUAAAAAAGAAAAAUCGCCCGCACGCAUAUAUGAAUUGUAUGUGAAUUUAUAUAAUGAGACUGAACUAAUGCA